AUGCGCGAUAGUGGCAACUUUGUGCUCGUUGGUGCAGACGGCAACACAAAAUGGCAGACUUUUGAUGUGCCGUCGGACACCAUCCUGCCUACCCAGCCCUCCGGCUUCAAGCAUCGUUCUUAUUGGUCCACCGAGGCAGCCGGGAAUGGCUCACAGCUGGUGUUAAAUGAAACUGGCAGAGUAUACUUCCUCCUAACAAAUGGUACUCAGAUCAACAUCACAUCAGGUGUGCUAGGAUCUAUGGUAGACUACUUCCACCGUGCUACACUUGACUCGGAUGGUGUUUUCCGGCAAUAUGUAUACCGAAAGAAUCCAAAGUCCAGUGUGUUCAGUGGUGAGAUGUGGAGUGCAGUGUGCUUACUUCCCCAAAAUAUCUGCCAUGCAGUAGUUACAGCUGUUGGCAGUGGCGUAUGUGGGUUCAAUAGUUACUGCACCUUCGAUGGCACCAAGAACCAGAUAAUUGGCCACUAUCUGAUUACGAGCAGUAUCAGUAUAUAG
rnacentral:rRNA from 1 species